rnacentral:rRNA from 1 species
GGGCACUGGAAGGUCCCUAAACCGAAAGGGGCUCUGCCCGCCCGAGGAUGGGCCGGCGGCCGAUUAGGUAGUUGGUGGGGUAACGGCCCACCAAGCCCAUAAUCGGUACGGGCAGUGAGAGCUGGAGCCCGGAGAUGGACACUGAGACACGGGUCCAGGCCCUACGGGGCGCAGCAGGCGCGAAACCUCCGCAAUGCUCGAAAGAGCGACGGGGGGACCCCAAGUGCCGUGGUACAACCACGGCUUUUCCGGAGUGUAAGAAGCUCCGGGAAUAAGGGCUGGGCAAGGCCGGUGACAGCCGCCGCGGUAAUACCGGCGGCCCGAGUGGUGGCCACUAUUAUUGGGCCUAAAGCGUCCGUAGCCGGGCUUGUAAGUCCCUGGCGAAAUCCCACGGCUCAACCGUGGGGCUUGCUGGGGAUACUGUAAGCCUUGGGACCGGGAGAGGCCGGGGGUACUCCUGGGGUAGGGGUGAAAUCCUAUAAUCCCAGGAGGACCGCCAGUGGCGAAGGCGCCCGGCUGGAACGGGUCCGACGGUGAGGGACGAAGGCCAGGGGAGCAAACCGGAUUAGAUACCCGGGUAGUCCUGGCUGUAAAGGAUGCGGGCUAGGUGUUGCUUGGACCUCGAGUCCAAGCAGUGCCGCAGGGAAGCC